rnacentral:rRNA from 1 species
UACGUAGGGUGCAAGCGUUAAUCGGAAUUACUGGGCGUAAAGCGUGCGCAGGCGGUUUUGUAAGUCUGUCGUGAAAGCCCCGGGCUCAACCUGGGAAUUGCGAUGGAGACUGCAAGGCUUGAAUCUGGCAGAGGGGGGUAGAAUUCCACGUGUAGCAGUGAAAUGCGUAGAUAUGUGGAGGAAUACCGAUGGCGAAGGCAGCCUCCUGGGAUAACACUGACGCUCAUGCACGAAAGCGUGGGGAGCAAACAGG